GGUGUUUUUCUUUUUUUUUUUCUUUUUCUUCUUUUUCUUU
rnacentral:ribozyme from 13 species